GAGGAGGGGGAUAGACCUCCUCCACCUCCUCAUGCUGCUGCUGUUGUUGAUGGCGUUGUUGCAGUUGUGAUCCUAUUUGCUGCUGGUUUUGGAGAUGUUUGCGUUGUGCCAUAGUAGUACUACUGGUGGCUGAGCAGCCGCCGCCACUGCCUUUUCCCUACCGCACUGGAUGUGUGUAUGUAUGUAUGUAUGUAUGUAUGUAUGAAUGUAUAUGCUCCUCCUGCUACUGCGGAGAGGCCGCCGUGUGGAGGGAGAUACUGCUACUGCUGCUGCGAGGCUGUAGCAACGAAGCGGCGGCCGUGCACACAAGUCUAGUGUUGUCUCUCAGUCUCAGCCGCAGUGUCGCUUAACCCACCAACAACACACACCAACACACACUAACACACACCAACACACACUAACACACACCAACACACACUACGUAAGGGAGAGGGGAGAGGAAAACACACAGCCAACCAGUAAGUUCCCUUGGGGGGCCCUCCCUACCCUCCACAAAAUCAGUCACCUACACCGACACCUGGAAUCUGAUGUGGCCCCUAACGCCGCGGCCCCCAACGUUCCCUCCUCCGCUUCUCUCCUCUUUACACUAAUAUACUGCCGUGUAUUCCGCUCCUCUCCUCUAAAGGCGUCCAAGCUCCGGGGCUCCAACCGAACACUCACUCGCACUCGCGGGUUCAGUCCUUAGAAAGACACACACGAACUCGUGUGCGGGUAUGUAUGUAUGUAUGUGCGUGUGUGUGUGUUUCUCUAUGCGUGUGUUUAUACACGGCAGUAUUCCAUUCCUUUCCUUCGCUCCUUCCUUUCUCGCAAGCUCGCUCGCUCUACUGCUCCUCGCUUGCCUUUCCGGUUUGCCGUCUACCCCCUGCUGCUUCCCUCCCUCUGAAUUCGCGAACCCGGACACAGGGGCUGUGGCUGCAGGCGCUGCUAGUGCUUCUUCUGCUGCUAGCGCUUGGGCUGCUGCUGCUGCUGCUGCCCUGGGGUAAACGAGGGCCUGCGGCUGUUGACAAUGGUCAAGAGAGGAGAGACAUACUGGUUAACGCUGCCGGCGCUUGAGGAAUAGGCGAGGACCAGAAUUGGCAGGAUUGGCAUGCAAGGAGAAUCAGAUUAGCAUGGGCGUUGCUUGGAGUAGCGUUGUGGCAAAUUCGCGCUUCGGCCCGUACCUUUAGUUAAGACGUACGCCCCGCGUCGAGAGAAGCGCGCUAUAUGAAGGCCACCAAGAGUUCGGCGUCGCCUCGAAAUGAUGCUUAUUGGAUUGCUUGUGGAUGAGUACUUUCAAUAUCUACAAUCCGACCGCGCCACAGCGCCAUACGAGCGCGAAGCUAUGCUUACGAAAUCUUCUUGUGCACAAGGGCGUCAAUUAAAACGCUAAUGGUGGCAGUCACAGAGCUUAUGAUUCACUCUCGGAGCUCCCGAUGCGGGCAAACGGCUGGAUUAUGCGUAAUGUGUUGAGGGAGGAGAGUCCAAGAUGCCCUGAAUACGCAUUCCAAUGUAGUAAGUCAAAGGAGGAUGUUGUGCUGUGUUAUCAUAGUACACGCGAUGACAUGUGAACAGGCAAAGCUGCCUUUCCAUCACCUGCAAGCCUCCCGUACUGCAACCGCUCCUUAACUCUUACUCUUCAUUUCCCCCCUUAACUGCGCGUUUGCCAUUUUGAUCAUCUCACCCUGUUGCGGGAUUGUCCUUGCGUGGCUAAUUUCGGACGAGUCAGCACCUCUGGCAGUUGUUCUCAAUCUUCGCAUAGCCACACCACCUACCCCCAAGCCGCACCCUUUAGUUUGAAGCAUGC
rnacentral:lncRNA from 1 species